rnacentral:rRNA from 1 species
CCUACGGGGGGCAGCAGUGGGGAAUAUUGGACAAUGGGCGAAAGCCUGAUCCAGCCAUGCCGCGUGUGUGAAGAAGGCCUUCGGGUUGUAAAGCACUUUCAGUGGGGAAGAAAGCCUUGGGGCUAAUACCCUCGAGGAAGGACAUCACCCACAGAAGAAGCACCGGCUAACUCCGUGCCAGCAGCCGCGGUAAUACGGAGGGUGCGAGCGUUAAUCGGAAUUACUGGGCGUAAAGCGCGCGUAGGCGGUCUGAUAAGCCGGUUGUGAAAGCCCCGGGCUCAACCUGGGAACGGCAUCCGGAACUGUCAGGCUAGAGUGCAGGAGAGGAAGGUAGAAUUCCCGGUGUAGCGGUGAAAUGCGGAGAGAUCGGGAGGAAUACCAGUGGCGAAGGCGGCCUUCUGGACUGACACUGACGCUGAGGUGCGAAAGCGUGGGUAGCAAACAGGAUUAGAUACCCUAGUAGUC